GAGUGCACUAACUGUAAGUCGCUCUGGAUAAGAGCGUCUGCUAACUGACUAGAA
rfam:Salmo salar isolate Sally breed double haploid chromosome ssa02, whole genome shotgun sequence.